rnacentral:rRNA from 1 species
GAAGAAAGAGGGAGGCGUGCUUAACACAUGCAAGUCGAACGGAAAGGCCCUGCUUUUGUGGGGUGCUCGAGUGGCGAACGGGUGAGUAACACGUGAGUAACCUGCCCUUGACUUUGGGAUAACUUCAGGAAACUGGGGCUAAUACCGGAUAGGAUCUCCUGCUGCAUGGUGGGGGUUGGAAAGUUUCGGCGGUUGGGGAUGGACUCGCGGCUUAUCAGCUUGUUGGUGGGGUAGUGGCUUACCAAGGCUUUGACGGGUAGCCGGCCUGAGAGGGUGACCGGCCACAUUGGGACUGAGAUACGGCCCAGACUCCUACAGGAGGCAGCAGUGGGGAAUAUUGCACAAUGGGCGGAAGCAUGAUGCAGCAACGCCGCGUGCGGGAUGACGGCCUUCGGGUUGUAAACCGCUUUCGCCUGUGACGAAGCGUGAGUGACGGUAAUGGGGAAAGAAGCACCGGCUAACUAAGU